GACGAACGCUGGCGGCGUGCCUAAUACAUGCAAGUAGAACGCAGUGGCGAGCAGGUGAGUAACGCGUUGGUAACUGCCUGGUAGCGGGGGAUAACUAUUGGACACGAUCGCUAAUACCGCAUACUCCCCGAUGGACCUUCGUUUUAUUAGUUAGUUGGUGGGGUAACGGCUCAACAAGGCAACGAUACAUAGCCGACCUGAGCGGGUGAUCGGCCACACUGGGACUGAGACACGGCCCAGACUCCUACGGGAGGCAGCAGUAGGGAAUCUUCGGCAAUGGGGGGAAGCCUGACCGAGCAACGCCGCGUGAGUGAAGAAGGUUUUCGGAUCGUAAAGCUCUGUUGUUAAGGAAGCGGUACCUAACCAGAAAGGGACGGCUAACUACGUGCCAGCAGCCGCGGUAAUUC
rnacentral:rRNA from 1 species